ACCACUUUCAUUGAUUGUUCGUCUUAAUUAGCCUUCUUGGUUCAAUAUACAAAAAAGUGUUUCAAUUCAUCUCUUACGAAAGUGGUCUAAAGGCACUGUUCAUAAUCAGCAAUUUGAUUUGCUUUAAUUAAUACAUAUUUGUGAGCUGUGCACUUAGCUAGCUGGAUGCAUAAGUGUUAUUUGGAACGAAUUAAUAGAACAUUUUGACCUUGCAAAUAAAUUUGUUUUCUCCGUGUACAUGGUUAUUUAUAUUCAGGUGUAUUCAAAAAUUCCUGUUAACAUUCAUUCAUAGAAGGGGCCAUUGAGAAAUUGCGGGUCCGUGGACACGGUGCAUGGAAGGGGUCCAUGGACCCAGUCCAUAGAAGGGGUCCAUGGACCGGGGGUCCAUGUUUUGUACUUUUCCAUUAAUCGCAGCGUGUAAGGCAGCAGGAAUUUCUGACCAUUUAAUACAUGUAAAUAAGUAGUACAUUCCAAAAUCAAAACCUUUUACACCUGACGAAUUCCCAAAUCCAAGCUCAAAAACCCUUUACCUUCAAGGCCAG